rnacentral:rRNA from 1 species
AGCAGCCGCGGUAAUUCCAGCUCCAAUAGCGUAUAUUAAAGUUGUUGCAGUUAAAAAGCUCGUAGUUGAAUUUCGGAAUCUGUCCGUUGGUCGGGCUUAAUUGUCCGUACUGAUGUGAUGGGUUCUUACCUUCUGAAUAACCAUCAUGCCAUUAAUUUGGUGUGUUGGGGAAGCAGGACUAUUACCUUGAAAAAAUUAGAGUGCUCAAAGCAGGCUAGCGCCUGAAUACAUUAGCAUGGAAUAAUAAAAUAGGACGGCAUGGUUCUAUUUUGUUGGUUUCUAGGAUCACCGUAAUGAUUAAUAGGGAUAGUUGGGGGCAUUAGUAUUCAAUUGUCAGAGGUGAAAUUCUUGGAUUUAUUGAAGACUAACUUCUGCGAAAGCAUUUGCCAAGGAUGUUUUCAUUAAUCAAGAACGAAAGUUAGGGGAUCGAAGACGAUCAGAUACCGUCGUAGUCUUAACCAUAAACUAUGCCGACUAGGGAUCGGACGAUGUUAAUUUUAUAAUGACUCGUUCGGCG